UAAAGGAAAGUGCCCCUGGUAUGGACAUGCC
rnacentral:piRNA from 1 species